rnacentral:rRNA from 1 species
GAUGAACGCUGGCGGCGUGCCUAAUACAUGCAAGUCGAGCGAACGGACGAGAAGCCUGCUUCUCUGAUGUUAGCGGCGGACGGGUGAGUAACACGUGGACAACCUACCUAUAAGACUGGGAUAACUUCGGGAAACCGGAGCUAAUACCGGAUAAUAUUUUGAACCGCAUGGUUCAAAAGUGAAAGACGGUCUUGCUGUCACUUAUAGAUGGAUCCGCGCUGCAUUAGCUAGUUGGUAAGGUAACGGCUUACCAAGGCAACGAUGCAUAGCCGACCUGAGAGGGUGAUCGGCCACACUGGAACUGAGACACGGUCCAGACUCCUACGGGAGGCAGCAGUAGGGAAUCUUCCGCAAUGGGCGAAAGCCUGACGGAGCAACGCCGCGUGAGUGAUGAAGGUCUUCGGAUCGUAAAACUCUGUUAUUAGGGAAGAACAUAUGUGUAAGUAACUGUGCACAUCUUGACGGUACCUAAUCAGAAAGCCACGGCUAACUACGUG